UACAGAGGUCUCAAGCGUUGUUCGGAUUCAUUGGGCGUAAAGGGUGCGUAGGCGGCGCGGUAAGUCGGGUGUGAAAUCUUGGAGCUUAACUCCGAAACUGCAUUCGAUACUGCCGUGCUUGAGGACUGGAGAGGAGACUGGAAUUUACGGUGUAGCGGUGAAAUGCGUAGAUAUCGUAAGGAAGACCAGUGGCGAAGGCGGGUCUCUGGACAAGUUCCUGACGCUGAGGCACGAAGGCCCAGGGGGAGCAAAACGGG
rnacentral:rRNA from 1 species